GACUUUAGUGCACCAUUUUGCCGCUCUCCAGUUAGUAUAAAAGCAUGAGUCCAUAGCUUUUCUGGGUGUGUGCUGCUGUUGGUGAAAGCAGAGGCUGUGGAAUUCUGCAUUUACUCUGUGAGGUUGAGUUCCGCUAGAAUCUGGCCAAGUGUUUUUUCGGCAGUGAUUGUUGCCAUUUUAGCAUGUCGUGUGGAAGCUGUGUCACAAGGAUUUAAAUGCUUCCUCAAUCGGUGUGGGUUUCUUGGAUAGAAAUGCGUAAAAAUAGGUCUUCGGGGUUCAUGACAAGCAGGCGGAGAGGCUCUGCAAAUAUUUCAUGCUGUUCACGUCUGCUUCUAGAGGCUAAGCAUAGUAGGGGUUCAAAAAUACAGUAGAAGGCUCACAAGAGAGCUUCAGGAUCCAGCAGCUCAUGAAGGAUUGAACCAUGAUCGUGGUUCUGAUAACAGCUGCGGCACUGGCAAUGGCAGCCUUCUCAGUGGCUCACGCUACAAGCCACGCGGUGGGAGGCACGGCGGGGUGGACCUAUGGAUUUGACUACGCGGACUGGGCUAACAGCACUUCAGCCACACCUGGUUUCUUUGACAACGACGUCCUCCGUAAGAAACCACACCGUAACUGCAAUCUUCUUAUCCUCCUUGCUAUCCCUCACACAAAUUGAGCUUGAAAAUUCUAUAACCAGUACUUGCAGGAAAUAUUCAAUAGCCAACUAGAAGUAGCAUUUGUACACAGAAGCCGGGGAUCAUCGUAAGGAGCACAACUUUAUCUACACUUCUGCAUUGAGUCUUGUGGGUUUCCAGAAAGGGCUUGAAUCGCCGCAAGUUUCAAACGGGGUCGGUUAUAGGGCGUUGUUUUCACUCCAGGGAUCCCAAGCUUGGUAUUUAUCAUGCUCCCCAUAGUUUUGUAGUUCAUGGAUUUUACACGUCCAAUACUUUUACUUGUGAACUUAACACAUCGUGUUUCAUUUGGUGUUUGCUUCUACAUAUCACUUAUAUACAGCAAUUUUAUAAUUUUUAAUA